CUUUGCUUUGUGCUAAAGUCAACAGUGACAGAGUUUGAGCUCAAAUAAAUGCCGUGAUGUCUCCAGCCCUAAGCAGAAGGCUGAAGGCGAGGUUCCACAUUGGGCUCCUAGCUUGCCAGUAAGCAUCCACCGUAUUUCACAGCAGGGCUCCUUUGGGGAGGGCUCCAUGGAUGUGCCGUCAGAGAGGUUCCUUCAGAGAGAAGAGGUAUAGGAAGGAGAGGAGGCCAUAAUGAGAAGAGGAGAGGUUCGGACAGGAGAAGCAGAUGGAUCUGACACCACACCAAAUGGUCCCUUCUGUCGUGGGCUGUGCUGUGACCCACCCAUGGCAGCGGCCAGAUGGAGGUGGAAUGGGACCAAUGGGAUCAAUGCGGUGCUGCCUACAAUCUUCUCCCUGCAUCACCUCAGAUCCACAGACACAGAACCACAAAGGCACUUUCCUCUCUGAGUGCUUGUCUACCUGGCUACGUCUGCGUCUGACCUGUCUGGAUCUAUGACAUAUCAAAGCUUGUGUCAGGCAGCGUGAAUAGGGAGAAAGAGGCACCAUUAAUGAUUAACUGUUCUUAAAGCCUAUCAGGCGGCCAUGUGACAUGCUCGCAGCAUUUUUUGAGCAGAUUGGGGGAAGCUAGUGAGCAAACACAGGUGCUUUGGAUUGGAGUCGCCGACGCUGUUAGGGACAACCACAAACAAGAGCAGCACUGCCUAGCUAAAUGAGAGCCCACCCACUUUACUUACUCUCUGGCUAGCUUGGCUUAGUCACUGACUGCAGUGGCCGGAGAUCCUCACCAGAGACCAAGUCCAAUGUCCCCCCAGUGUUCCACAACCUUUCACACAAACAAAUAAAAGGGGAGGAUUGGAGUCGCUGUGGUCUCAAGCAUCGGGGAAAGCAAACAAAUGAAUUGUGUUUCAGUUCUCACUUUCUAAAAAAAACAAAUGUGGGUUGAACACUUGUUCUUGAGAAGCCUAGUGGAGGCAAUGAGAGAUAUUCAGAAGGUGCUAAGGGUGUUCAGAAAUAUGCAGGAUGACAAACUGAUUCUCUGGAAAUGGAGUGGUUGAUUUGAUUGUUUCAUUAAUGUUUCAUGACAGGUGGAUGACGAAUAGAUCAUAGAGACACAAAAGCAUAUUUCCUGUCAACAAAGUAAACUGUUUUGUUGUCCUGAUUUUAUUUCGAUUUUUCUGGAGUUGUUUUCAAGGUUUUAUAAACACGGUCUAGGUCCGGGCACUUAACCUUUUUCUCCUCAAUAACGUCUGUCCCUUUGUAAAACGACAGAGAGCGUUCUGUAGCACAACUUUGAUAACACAAUCAGAUGAUAUGAUGGCGUUAACUGAACACGGCUUUCCGGCAGCGAGAUAAAUGAACAGCACGAUAACGUGAACAAAAGCCUAGCUCUGAUUGGUAGGUCUAUGAUUGGAAAACAGGCAGCACAGAAAGUCUACACAAUAAGGUCAAUUCAUUAGAUUUGUUAUUUUCUACAUGACCUGGGUCAGACGGACACCUUUUGUAUCAGUCAAAUAUUUAUUUGUGUGUUUUACAGGUCUUUCGUUUCAUACCCAGCAAUUACAAUGAGCCUGUAAAGCACAGAUGAUAAAAGUGUUUUAAAACAAACACUCCAAAUCAACAGGAGAGGAAAUUAAGUUGUAAAGGCAGAGCGAGACAGAGAGAGAGAAGCAGAGAGAGAACAAGAGAGGGGGGGGGGGGGGGGUUAGAAACAGGGAAUGGACUCAGGGGGUAUGCUAAUUUGGUAUAGAGCAGACCUAACUCACUCUAUUAAAUUAAUCAAAACAGGAACAUUUUACAUUAGGCUAGAAAUUCAAAAGGAAAUUAUCUCAACAGAGAAAAAUGUCCUCCAUUGUGCUACCUAUAUCCCCCCACUAGAAUCCCCAUACUUUAAUGAAGACAGCUUCUCCAACCAGGAGGGGGAAAUCAAUCAUUUCCAGGCCCAGGGACAUGUACUAGUCUGUGACGACCUAAGUGCCAGAACUGGACAAGAACCUGACACCCUCAGCACACAGGUGGACAAACACCUACCUGGAGGAGACAGCAUUCCCUCCUCCAUAUGCCCCCCUAGGCACAACUAUGACAACAUAACCAACAAAAACGGGUCACAACUCCUGCGGCUCUGUCGCACGCUGGGUAUGUACGUAGUCAAUGAUAGGCUUCGAGGGGACUCCUAAGGUAGGAACACCUAUAGCUCAUCUCUUGGCAGUAGUACUGUAGACUACUUUAUCACUGACAUCAACCCAGAGUCACUCAGAGCGUUCUCAGUCAGCCCACUGACACCCCUAUCAGAUCACAGCAAAAUCACAGUCUACUUGAACAGAGCACUACUCUAUCAUGUCAAAGCUAAAGGAAAUUAAUAAUAUUAAGAAAUGCUAUAGAUGGAAGGAAAGUAGUGUGGAGACCUACCAAAAAACUAUUAGGUAACAACAAAUUCAAUCCCUUUUAGACAACUUCCUGGACAAAAUGUUUCAUUGUAAUAGUGAAGGUGUAAACUUGGCAGUAGAAAACCUAAACAGUAUAUUUUACCUCUCAGCUUCCCUAUCAAAUCUAAAAAUGUCAAACAGAAAACCGAAGAAAAUUAACAAUAAUGACAAAUGGUUUGAUGAAGAAUGCAAAAACCUAAGAAAGAAAUUGAGAAACCUAUCGAACCAAAAACAUAGAAACCCAGAAAACCUGAGCCUACGCCUUCACUAUGGUGAAUCACUAAAAUAAUACAGAAAUACACUACGGAGAAAAAAAAGGAACAGCAUGGCAGAAAUCAGCUCAAUGUAAUCCAUAGACUCUAACCACUUCUGGGAAAAUUGGAAAACACUAAACAAACAACAACAUAAAGAGUUAUCUAUUCAAAAUGGAGGUCUAUGGGUAAACCACUUCUCCAGUCUUGUUGGCCCUAUAACAAAGAAUAAACAGCAAAAACAUGAUACAUGAUACAAAAAAUAUACAUGAUCAAAUACAAAUCUUAGAAUCAACUAUUAAAGACUACCAGAACCCACUGGAUUCUCCAACUACAUUGAAUGAACUACAGGACAAAAUACAAACCCUCCAACCCCAAAAGGCCUGUGGUGUUGAUUGUAUCCUCAAUGAAAUGAUAAAAUAUGCACACCACAAAUUCCAAUUGGCUAUACUUAAACUUUGUAACAUCAUCAUUAGCUCUGGCAUCUUCCCCAUUAAUUGGAACCACAAAAGUGGAGACAAAUUUGACCCCAAUAACUAUCGUGGGAUAUGCAUCAACAGCAACCUUGGGAAAAUCCUCUGCAUUAUCAUUAACAUCAGACUUGUACAUUUCCUCAGUGAAAACAAUGUACUGAGCAAAUGUCAAAUUGGCUUUUCACCAGAUUACCGUAUGAUAAAAAACUCCAUUUGGCAUGAGAGUCUGCUUUGCAAAUUGAUGGAAAGUGGUGUUGGGGGAAAAAUAUACGACAAUAUAAAAUCCAUGUACACAAACAAGUGUGCGGUAAUUUUCUUAAUGUUAUUUCCACAGAGCCGUGGGGUGAGACAGGGAUGCAGCUUAAGCCCUACCCUCUUCAACAUAUAUAUCAACGAAUUGGCGAGGGCACUAGAACAGUCUGCAGCACCGGCCUCACCCUACAAGAAUCUGAAGUCAAAUGUCUACCAUUUGCUGAUGAUCUGGUGCUUCUGUCCACAAACAAGGACGGCCUACAACAGCACCUAGAUCUUCUGCACAGAUUCUGUCAGAUCUGGAACCUGAUCGUAAAUCUCAGUAAGACAAAAAUAAUGGUGUUCCAAAAAAAGUCCAGUUGCCAGGACCACAAAGACAAAUUCCAUCUAGACACUGUUGCCCUAGAGCGGUGGUUCCCAAACUUGAUAUAGUCCCGUACCCCUUCAAACAUUCAACCUCCAGCUGUACCCCCUCAGCGCACUCUCAAAUGUUGUUUUUUGACAUCAUUGUAAGCCUGCCACACACACACUAUACAAUACAUUUAUUAAACAUAAGAAUGAGUGUGAGUUUUUGUCACAACCCGGCUCGUGGGAAGUGACAAAGAGCACUUACAGGACCAAGGCACAAAAAAUUAUAUAAUAAUAAUCAAUAAUGUUUCUCUUUAUUUAUCCAUCUUACAUAUAAAACCUUAUUUGUUCAUCAAAAAUGGUGAAUAACUCACCACAGGUUAAUGAGAAGGGUAUGUUUGAAAGGAUGCACAUAACUCUGCAAUGUUGGGUUGUAUUGGAGAGAGUCUCAGUCUUAAAUCAUUUUCCACACACAGUCUGUGCCUGUAUUUAGUUUUCAUGCUAGCGAGGGCUGAGAAUCCACUCUCACAUAGGAACGUGGUUGCAAAAGGCAUCAGUGUCUUAACAGCAUGAUUUGUCAAGGCAGGAUAAUCUGAGCACAGCCCAAUCAGAAAUCUGGCAGUGACUUCUGAUUCAAUUACAUUUUCACAGAACCGCUUGUUGCAACUUCAAUGAGGCUCUCUUGUUCAGAUAUCGGUAAGUGGACUGGAGGCAGGACAUGAAAGGGAUAACGAAUCCAGUUGUUUGCGUCAACCGUUUCGGGAAAGUACCUGCAUAAUUGUGAAUCCAACUCACUAAGGUGCUUUGCUAUAUCACAUUUGACAUUUUCCCUAAGCUUGAGUUCAUUUGCACACAAAAAAUCAUACAAUGAUGGAAAGACCUGUAUGUUGUCUUUCCAUCUUUCCAACUUUUUAAUCAUAGCUUCAAUUUUGUCUUGCACAUUGAGUAUAGUUGCGGAGAGUCCCUGUAAUCCUAGAUUCAGAUAAUUCAGGUGAGAAAAAACAUCACCCAGAUAGGCCAGUCGUUUGAGAAACUCGUCAUCAUGCAAACGGUCAGACAAGUGGAAAUGAUGGUCAGUAAAGAAAACUUUAAGCUCGUCUCUCAAUUCCCAAAAAUUUGCCAAUACUUUGUCUCUUGAUAACCAGUGCACUUCUGUAUGUUGUAAAAGCUUUACGUGGCCGCUGCCCAUAUCAAUGCAAAGUGCAGAAAAUACACAAGAGUUCAGGGGCCUUGCUUCAACAAAGUUAACCAUUUUCACUGUAGUGUCCAAAACAUAUUUCAAGCUGUCAUUCAUUCCCUUGGCAGCAAGAGCCUCUCAGUGGAUGCUGCAGUGUACCCAAGUGGCGUCGGGAGCAACUGCUUGCACACGCGUUACUACUCCACUAUGUCUCCCUGUUAUGGCUUGAUUGAUGUGAUUGGAUAUUAAUUAUUUGACUAGGCUACCUGUAUUUGACAUUGUGUUGUUAUUUCGCUGAACACUAGAUGGUUGAAUUUUAUUUUUGGCAGUGAAACGAGGCUACUCAGGCAAGAAAAAAAACUCACCCAAAUGUAUUGCCCCGUUGGAAAAUAUAAAUGGACUGUUUGAAAAUGUUAUGAAAUAUAUAAAUAAAAAAAGUGAAUCACAUUUUUAUUUGGCGUACCCCUGACGGCAUUGGGCGUACCCCUGGGGAAUACCUACCCUAGAGCACACAAAAAAAUAUACAUAUCUCGUCCUCAACAUACCCUCCCUGGGACUCGAGGGCGCCAGGCUAACCUUCUUUACAUGCACCUGUCACCAUCAUUACGCGCAACAGCGCUCAUUGGACUCACCUGGACUCCUUCACGUGGUUGAUUGCCCCCUGUAUAUCUGUCUGUUCCUCUGUGGUGUUCCCCGUGUCCACAUUAAUGGUUGUUAUGUGUUCCUGUCCAGACGCAGUUCCUGUUCCAUUUCAUAUCCGUCAGCUAUUAAACCUUCACUCCCUGUACCUGCUUCUCAUCUCCUGCGUCGAUCCUUACACGCCACAGGUAACUUCCACAAAGCUGUGAACGAUCUGAGAGACAAGGCAAGAAGGCCCUUCUAUGUCACCAAAAGGAACAUAAAAUUCGACAUACCAAUUCGGAUCUGGCUAAAAAUACUUGAAUCAGUUAUUGAACCCAUUGCCAUUUAUGGUUGUGAGGUCUGGGAACCGCUUACCAAAUGGGACAAACACCAAAUUGAGACUCUGCAUGCAGAAUUCUGCAAAAAUAUCCUCGGUGUACAACAUAAACCACCAAAUAAUGCAUGCAGAGUAUAAUUAGGCCGAUACCUACUAAUUAUCAAAAUACAGAAAAGAGACGUUAAAUUCUACAACCACCUAAAAGGAAGCGAUUCCCAAACCUUCCAUAACAAAGUCAUCACCUACAGAGAGAUGAACCUGUAGAAGAGUCCCCUAAGCAAGCUAGUCAGCAACCCAAUUAGACCCAACCAAAUCAUGUGUCACGCCUUAGUUGUCUAUGUUUUCUGUAUUAUUUUGGUCAGGUCAAGGUGUGACGAGGGUGGGUAUGCGUGUUUUGUCUUGUCUAAGGUUUUUGUAGAUCUAUGUUUUUUUUGUAAGUCUAGGUAUUGUAGGUUUAUGGUGACCUGAAUUGGUUCCCAAUCAGAGGCAGCUGUUUAUCGUUGUCUCUGAUUGGGGAUCCUAUUUAGGUUGCCAUUUUCCCUUUUGGUUUUGUGGGUUCUUGUCUAUGUGUAGUUGUCUGUCAGCACUCGUUUUAUAUAGCUUCACGGUCGUUUUUGUUACUUUGUUAGUUUGUUUAGUGUUUUUUCUUCAUUAAAAGAAGAAUGUAUUCAUA